UCCAAAGUUAAAGUAUGCUCAUCGCAUGGCCAUCAGGGGGCCACACGUCCUCCAUCAAGCAACAAAUGAAGGGAGUAUAUGAUUUAGUUCUCUUCAGAACUCUCAUUUCUCUUGUUUCUUUCUCUCUCUAAGUCUAGCUCUCUCUCAAAGCCUCUCUCUCUCUACUCUCAACCUCUCUCUAACCCUACCCUGAAUCCCUCACCACCGACCACCCCCUUUUCCAGAAAACCACCACCAAAACCAUUGAACCCUUCAAUUUUCCGGUUAAAUUUCAACCGGAAAACUCAAACAUUCAACCUUCCAACCCAGGAAUCCCCGUACCCCACAAGAACCCUUCUGAAAUCCCCGAAACCUAACCUAGAAACUUCCUAAAAGAAGAACCCUAACCUGGGUUCAUGAUAAACCCUAACUCCAAAAUCCGGAAUUAAAGAAUCCUAGGGUUCAUCUGAUGAACCCUGACCCUAACCGCUAUGAACCAUAACCCUAAAAAUUACCCAUAAGCCUUUAUAUAACCCAAAUCGAACCCCAAAUCACAUCAAACCCAUCCUGAAAAACAAAUCAAUUAUUCUCUAACCCUUAACAACAACCAAACAUAAACAAAACCUAAGUCUAUCAUUCCAUAGAUCUAGAACCAAUCAAACACAAAUAUGUGAGUUGAAAUAAAGAAAGGCAAAGGCAAAUUAUAUCCAACCAACCUACGGAGAUGAGAGGUUCUCUGGUGUAAAAAGGUCUUGCUGGUUUGUGAUGGAUUUUAAGCGCAUAAAAAUUAAGGUUUCAAUAUGAAACCCUAAUCUCAGUUUGACUCAACUUUGAUUAAGGGCUUGGAAAUUGCAGAAGAAUCAAUUUUUAGGGUUUUUUAUUUCCCGUUCAUCUCAAUUCCUCUUGUAUUUAUAGAUUAGAUUUUAGGUUUAGAAUUUAAUUUAAUUUGAUUUAGUUUAGGAAAUUUUUAGAAUUUGAUUGUAAUUUUUGAUUUUGUUUAGAAAUAGAAAUUAGGGCUUGUAAAUUGUAACUAAAACUAUGAUGUACUUGGUAUGGAUUUGAUUUGUAUUUCAUGAUUUGGAUGUAAAUGGAAGGUUUGGAUUGAAUUGCAUAUUGAA